GUGGUACGUAAUUUGGUAUGACUGUAUCCAUUGUCAAGGAGCAGUGUGGGAUAGUGACAAGAGCUGAAGCUUCCACACCAGGGAAAUCUGGGUCCAGAUGCUGCCUAAGGCAUUAGCACUCUCUGUGCCCUUGGGCUCUACAGAUGCAUCAUCAAGGUCAAGGGAGUUGCCACUUGUAACUUAGAACAACAUAGCAUUGUCGUCUGUUUAAAUCCCUCUUCAGGGAUGAUACCCUCCCAUCUAUUCAUUCUGCAAGAUUCUAGAAUCUUAGACAACAUUCUAUCAAGUAGAACCUUCUGCAUUUCAUUUUGGCCUUAUUCACUGAAAAUUAUGGAGUCCAAAGCUUUCGUUUGUACUGCUUCUAUAUAUACCUCCAGGGCAAGAAAAUGGAUGAGAAGAAUGGUUAUCUUAUAGCUUUUCAAACAGAAACUCAUUACAAUCUCAGUUAAUGAAGCAUGGAAAAUCAAAAUCAAAGCAUCAGCAUUUACUACCUCCUAGAUGCCUGGAACUUUUCAAAGUGAAUUACAGAGCAGAUUCACACCCUUUAAAGAAUUUGUAAAUUCAGAAACGGCUGGGAGCAGGUGAGUAUUUCUGCAAAAUUUGAGAGGUGUGGAUCUAUGACCGAGGAAGCAAGGACUGUGGCAUCCCCAGAAGCUUUCCUUUUGAAUCAGGAGCUGCUUUGACCAGGACUUGCGUGGUAUAGUGUUCGCAGAAGCACGGAUGGCCACGGACCUCUAUCCUAUUAUUUACUCUUAUUACUUCCUGGUGUUGGCACUUCCGCAGAAAAUGUUGACGCGUGACAUCAAAGGCAAAGAGGAGAUCCGCAAUCCCUAGUUCCUUCCCUGCUCCUCCUAAGCUGAGGGAAGCGAGCGUGGGGAAAACGUGCAAAUAUCAAGGAGCAAAAUCAAAACAGCCAAGUUCAUUUGGGGCGGCGUACGUGAUUCAAAGCGUGGUGAACAUCCGCGGCGAGGUCUUGCCGAAUUACUUCUAUGAGAAGGCACGAUGCAGUCGCUGGGAGCUGGGGCUCUGGUGCUAGACCCCAGCGUGGCCAACUUGUAUCCUUGGGCUCGGCCGGCUUCAGGACACAGCACAGGAGCGGAAUGCUGAACCAGGGCUUAUGGCAUAUGAAUUGCAACAUUUCCAUAUUUUUCCUGCACAAACAGCCGGGACCAGAUUGUAUACACAUUUCAGGAUCAACAAGAGUGUUUGUAGACUAUUGAAAGGUGGAUUUAUAUAUAAGACUUAUUUCCCAUUGAAGACAUCAGAUUGGAGUCUUCUGAUGAAGACAUCAGAUUCGAACUGACAGCGCAGAGCCCGACACGGGGCUCGAACUCAUGGACCGCAAGAUCAUGACCUGAGCCGAAGUCGGAUGCCCAACCUACUGAGCCACUCAGAGGGAAGAAUGGCUGUUUGCCAACAGCUACUGACACUGGGGUCCAGCUAAGGUCGCGGUUCUUCAGCUGUGAUGUGGGUGCCCUAUGUGUUCUGCAUCCCGGACAUCCACCUGUAGCCCUCAUGGGACUUGGGGGGUGAGGGAACCAAUUCCAACAAGAAGCUCCCGCUGUAUGCUGGGUCUGGAGAAAUACACUAAGUCCACGAAAUGGGUGCCGUCUUUUUGGCCAAGACGACGGAAGGGUGACAAGUCCCCACACCCCUUCUGUGCCACUGUUUAGGAACUGUAAGCCUGUUCAUGACUCCAUUGUGAAGCCCCUUUUUAUUUAUUUAGCCAACUUUCUAUAUUUUAUGUUUGUAGCAAUUCUUUAUACACUGUGUAUACAAGACCUCUGCCAUUUAAAUGUGAUGCCAUAUGGUCGUGUUUGGAGAUACACAAGCAGAAAUAUUGUUUUAGAGUAUGGUAUUUAGAGACAAAAGGACACAGAUCAUAAGUGUACAUCUUUUUUUUAAAGUUUAUUUAUUUUUAGAGAGAGAGAGAGAGAGAGAAUCCCAAGCAGGCUCCCUGCUGCUGGCACAGAGCCCACUGUGGGGCUUGAACCCACAAACUGGGAGAUCAUGACCUGAGCCGAAAUAAAGAGUUGGACCCUUAACCAACUGAGCCACCCAAACACCCCCUUAAGUGUACAUCUUGACAAAUAUCACAAAGUGAAUAUGUCCAAGUACUGUCCAAGAAAUAGACCAUUAGUAGCGCCUCAGAGGCCUGCUCAAGCCCCUACAACCUACAGGCGGCCCCUCUCCUGACUCCUAAUGCCACAGGUUAGGUGGACCUGUUUUGAGCUUUAUAUACUUGGAGCCAUUCAGUGUGUUUCCUUUUGUAUCUCGUUCAUUUGGUUCAUGUUAUUGUUUGUAAGUUUCCUAUAACACACUGUUCUAUGUGGUUCUAUUUCAUUCACUCUCAUUGCUACAUGGAAUUCCAUUGUAGGACUGCCACCACUUAAUUAUUUAUUCCACUGUUUGUGGUCACUUCCAUUGUUUACAUUUGGGACUAUAAAGAACAACACUGCCGUGAAUGUUCUUUGAUGCACAUGUUACAUGCAGUUCUGUUGGCUGUAAUUUUAGGAGAUAAUGCAGAAUAGGUUCUACAAUGGCUGUACCAGAUUAUAUUCCUACCAGAGCGUAUGAGUGUUUCUGUCCCUCCCACACACGGCACGGUUCUUCCAUUUCAACUUUAAAACCAGCCUAAGUUCCAACAAUCACACACAGGUCCACGUAGAAUACACGCAUCAUUUAAACUUUGCACGGAACUUGCUGCUCUCUGUCUCCAUCUCUGUAGGAUCAGUGUAAUCAGUAUUUGUUUUAAAAUACUUAAAUUCUGGGGCACCUGGGUGGCUCAGUUGAUUGAGCUUCUGACUUCGAUUCAGGUCAUGAUCUCU